CCUACGGGAGGCAGCAGUGAGGAAUAUUGGACAAUGGACGAGAGCCUGAACCAGCCAAGCCGCGUGAAGGAUGAAUGCCUUCUGGGUGGUAAACUUUUUUUAUAUGGGAAUAAAAUGUUCCACGUGAGGGAUAUUGUAUGUACCAUAUCAAUACGGAACGGGGAACGCGGCGCAAGCUGCCGCGGUAAUCCGGAGGAUCCGAGUGUUAUCGGGUUUUAGUGGGUUAAAAGGGAGCGUAGGUGGAUUGUUAAGUCAGUUGUGAAAGUGGGCGGCUCAACCGUAAGAUUGCAAUUGACACUGGCAAUCUUGAGUACAGUAGAGGUAAGCGGAAUUCGUAGUGUAGCGGUGAAAUGCUUAGAUAUCAGGAGGAACACCAAUAGCGAAGGCAGUUCACUGGACUGGAACUGACACUGAGGCUCGAAAGUGUGGGUAGCAAACAGGAUUAGAUACCCGAGUAGUC
rnacentral:rRNA from 1 species